rnacentral:rRNA from 1 species
UACGUAGGGGGCUAGCGUUGUCCGGAAUCACUGGGCUUAAAGCGUGUGUAGGCGGAUCGGUAAGUACCUUGUGAAAUCCCACAGCUUAACUGUGGAACUGCUUGGUAUACUGCCAGUCUUGAGCCACUUAGGGGCUACCGGAACAAAUGGUGGAGCGGUGAAAUGCGUAGAUAUCAUUUGGAACGCCAAUGGUGAAAACAGGUAGCUGGGAGUGUGCUGACGCUGAGACACGAAAGCCAGGGGAGCAAACGGG